AACGAACGCUGGCGGCAUGCCUAACACAUGCAAGUCGAACGAGACCUUCGGGUCUAGUGGCGCACGGGUGCGUAACGCGUGGGAAUCUGCCCUUGGGUUCGGAAUAACAGCGAGAAAUUGCUGCUAAUACCGGAUGAUGACGUAAGUCCAAAGAUUUAUCGCCCAAGGAUGAGCCCGCGUAGGAUUAGCUAGUUGGUGAGGUAAAGGCUCACCAAGGCGACGAUCCUUAGCUGGUCUGAGAGGAUGAUCAGCCACACUGGGACUGAGACACGGCCCAGACUCCUACGGGAGGCAGCAGUGGGAAUAUUGGACAAUGGGCGAAAGCCUGAUCCAGCAAUGCCGCGUGAGUGAU
rnacentral:rRNA from 1 species